CGAAUCCGCGCGGGAGAGUUCCGGGCCCCCGUGGCCCGGGCGCCGAAGGAGCAAGUUCCUCCCUUGAAUCUCUCAGGCCCCGCACCGCACGGAUGAG
rnacentral:ncRNA from 2 species